UUCAAUACAUUUUAUUGGGUUUUAUUUAGCCAAGAAUCGACACAGUAUAGACUCAAAAAUCAGAAUCAUAAUAAACAGUUUAGUUAUGUACACCAGUUUGCACUACCAAAUUUUUAUAUUGGAAUAUUUAAAACUAAUUUCAUUAGAUACGUACAUUUAAUUUGGCAAUUUGUUUUGUACAGCAACCUGGCUGGUAACACUAAAUAGGUACUGUGGUGACUUAGAUUUUUUUUUAUUUAA